rnacentral:rRNA from 1 species
UUGGCUUAGAAGCAGCCAUCAUUUAAAGAAAGCGUAAUAGCUCACUGGUCGAGUCGGCCUGCGCGGAAGAUGUAACGGGGCUAAACCAUGCACCGAAGCUGCGGCAGCGACGCUGAUGCGUUGUUGGGUAGGGGAGCGUUCUGUAAGCCUGUGAAGGUGUGUCGUGAGGCAUGCUGGAGGUAUCAGAAGUGCGAAUGCUGACAUAAGUAACGAUAAAGCGGGUGAAAAGC